CUACGGGUAUCAGCAGUGGGGAAUAUUGGACAAUGGGCGAAAGCCUGAUCCAGCCAUGCCGCGUGUGUGAAGAAGGCCUUCGGGUUGUAAAGCACUUUCAGUGGGGAAGAAAGCCUUGGGGCUAAUACCCUCGAGGAAGGACAUCACCCACAGAAGAAGCACCGGCUAACUCCGUGCCAGCAGCCGCGGUAAUACGGAGGGUGCGAGCGUUAAUCGGAAUUACUGGGCGUAAAGCGCGCGUAGGCGGUCUGAUAAGCCGGUUGUGAAAGCCCCGGGCUCAACCUGGGAACGGCAUCCGGAACUGUCAGGCUAGAGUGCAGGAGAGGAAGGUAGAAUUCCCGGUGUAGCGGUGAAAUGCGUAGAGAUCGGGAGGAAUACCAGUGGCGAAGGCGGCCUUCUGGACUGACACUGACGCUGAGGUGCGAAAGCGUGGGUAGCAAACAGGAUUAGAUACCCCAGUAGUC
rnacentral:rRNA from 1 species